CGCAAACGAAAGGAGAUUAGUCUAGGCAACGAGACGCACAGUGAUCGUCAAUUCAAACGAUACAUGGGCAGCAGCUUACCUCGUACAAGUCGUAGAAAAGACUAUAAUAUUUACAGACGUAUACUGUGUUUGACCCAUCCGCGAGUUUACCAGAUCGUUAAUCUGUAACUGCGUGUAAUCUUUAACUGUGUGCUUGUGCCACCGGCUCAUGUGUCCCCCCUUCUCGCGCCACUUUGGAAGUUGCUCGGCGAAACUAAGGUACAAGGAGUCAUUUAGUCGUCUCAUUUCGUACCGAUAACAUGGAUCACGUUGCGUCAGACAUACCACAGCUUGGACUUCUUUGUCUUGUUUGCGAAUGCUCCAACUGUGGCUCAAAAGCCAAGAAUAUUUUUAACAACCUCCAUUUCCACCAUUGGAUUUUCAACGGUUCCUGCCUGAUGUUAGUCUUUCUAAUGAUAUUUACUGUGAUAGUGUAGUAUCGAUGGCAACGUUUUCCGUUUCUCCGCUUCUAAUGGUGAGUCGCAUGCACUUUUGUCUCUCCUUUUUGUCACUCGAUCAUGUCAUAGGAUGAAAGGUCCGAAUCGGCACGAGUGACUGACUGGUCGUAUUAUGUAGAAUUUUUGCGAGCAUAUUGACCGCGGGUAUUUUUUAUACCCGUGAGUAGCAACAUUUCAUAUCUUUAUUU
rnacentral:misc_RNA from 1 species